UUUAGAGUGUUCCUUCAAAGUAGGGGGUUGACCCAAAAAUGGCGACUUGAAGAAAUUCCUCACCCUUGUCAGCAUGAUGCCGUAAGUUGCGGCAUAUAUAUUCUAAAGAUAGCGGAGUGCAUUAUGUUCCAACCCGGUGAUCCAAUCGAAUUUUCUAGUGAAGAUGUCGAUGAAUACCGCUACGUCGUAGCAGAAAAGCCUCUGGAUCAAAAGUAGCAGAAUGUGUUAUACAUAGUAUAACGCACUCCAUGAAAUCUAAUGACCCUCUUUGUGCUAAUGUUAUGCAAUUUAGAAAUAGCAAUUUUGAUUUUUGUACAAUUUCACUCCAAAAUGCGCCUUCUCAUUUUACUAGAGCCAUUAGCUCAAAUUCACAGGAAUGUACAUCAUGUAUCUGAUCAUGUACACUCUAACUCUGGUAUCUGUCAACUACUGAUGGACACAAAGAGCAUCGACAGCUCUUAUCAUUCAUCGGAUUUGCGAUAACUCAAACAAGAAACUUCUGGCUAAACUCUUGUAAAUAUAUUCGCAUUUAAACACUAUUUCGGUGAAUAAUUGAGCAUAUCCUUGUAAAAAUAUGUAAAUAAAAGCAAAAGCAAAAACAGAAGUUACUUCACGAACUUCUUCUGUUUUGACAUGUAAAUAUCAAACGAUCAUUUAAAUAUUCCAUCUCGUGUCCAAUCUGUCCUUGCUUGUCGCAUGAUSACAGCUGUGAUUUGCCAAAGUGGGUUAAUAUCCCGUACCGGCAAUCUAUGAUAUAAUUGGUUCAGUCACGUUAUGUGAGUGUUUAUGUGGCGAUAAUGAAGUCACCUCUUCAAUUUGAAUUGAUACCUCAUGGAAUUUUCUACUUCACCGAAAAGCCUUGAUGAAACGUUAUAAAAUGUUUAGUACUCAUUUUGCUCGUAACUUGAAAUUGAACUCGUUUCUACGGACCGGAUAAUGCGUGCAAAAGUGGACUUGUUUUACAGCGUGACGUUGGUCUUAAAAGCUCUUUAUCUGUCAUCGCUUCUUGUAUGAUCAAAGCUGUGAUUGGCUUAACCGCCUUACUAUCCCGUACUAAUUACUGCUCAAUGAGACGAUUGCAUGAGUCGCGUUAUCAUUCCGUACUAAUCCCGUACUAAUUUACUGCUUUAUAAUACGAUUGGUUGACUCGCGUUA